AAGGGUGGCAUUUCCAGCCGGGCUCGACCUGAUCCCAUCCCGAACUCAGUAGUCAAAACGGCUUGGGCCAAUGAUAGUCCUACGCAUGUAGGUGCAAAAGUAGGUGGCUGCCCCAU
rnacentral:rRNA from 1 species